rnacentral:tRNA from 1 species
GGAAGUACGCCGAAGUUGGAGAGUCAGGGCAGACUGUAAAUCUGUUGCUGAAUUGCUGAAUUGGUUCGAAUCCAAUUACUUCCA